rnacentral:rRNA from 1 species
AAGUCCGUAACAAGGUCUCCGUUGUUGAACCNGCGGAGGGGUCAUUACAGAGUUACAAAACUCCAACCCUUGUGAACCGUACCCAAAUCGUUCUCGUUGCUUCCGGCGGGGGGGACGGGNCUUUAUAUCUCAACCACUAGAAAACAGUCUGAGGAUUAAAAACAAAUAAUCAAAACUUUCAACAACGGAUCUCUUGGCUCUGGCAUCGAUGAAGAACGCAGCGAAAUGCGAUACGUAAUGUGAAUUGCAGAAUUCAGCGAACCAUCGAAUCUUUGAACGCACAUUGCGCCCGCCAGUAUUCUGGCGGGCAUGCCUGUCCGAGCGUCAUUUCCCCCCUCACGCGCCCCGUUGCGCGCUGGUGUUGGGGCUCCUCCGCCUGGCGGAGGGCCCCGAAAGCGAGUGGCGGGCCCGGCUGGUUGGCUCCGAGCGCAGUACUGGACGCAAGUUCUCUCCCCUCGCUCAGACGCCCCGCCGGCGCCCUGCCGUCAAAACGCGCAUGACGUGCAACUUUUUACAAGGUUGACCUCGGAUCAGGUAGGACUACCCGCUGAACUUAAGCAUAUCAAUAA